AUGAAAGCACACGUCCAGCAAUACGUGAGAUGCUGCCAGGUAUGCCAACAAGCCAAGCCGGAUAGAGCAGCUUCACCAGGCCUGUUGCUACCCCUCCCUAUACCAAAGAAAUCGUGGGACCUAAUCACCAUGGAUUUCGUGGACGGAUUACCUCAAUCAGGGCAAUACAAAUGCCUACUGGUUGUCGUCGACAAGAGAACUUGGUUUGCUCACUUUCUUCCUCAGGCUCACCCAUACACAACAUCUAAAGUGGCUCUGCUCUAUAUGCAACAAUUGUACAAACUCCAUGGCUUCCCAGGAGCAAUCGUGUCCAACCGCGACCCAGUCUUUACCAGUCACUUUUGGUAG
rnacentral:rRNA from 1 species